UCGAUAACGAGAUUAUCACAUUCGUAAAAAAUUUUCCGAGACUGAACAUCAUAUUCGGAAGUGAUAAACAAUAUUUUCAAAAAGAUUAAUUUGUUGUUCAAUUAGUGGAUCAAAUUCUACUUUUAAUAAUAGAAAAAAAUAUCAAAAUGCGUUUCAUGUUAUACUUUCUGUUGUUAGCUGUUCUAGUUAUGUACUCAGAAGCUCAGGUUCCAGACACAGGGAUUUUAAGCACAUUGCUUGGAAAAAUAUUUGGAGUGACGGCGGCAACUACUGUUACGGGUCCAGUAAUAGGCUAAUAAAAAUCUGCAAGAUAUAUUAAAAAAAAUAUUCAUUAAAGAGUUAAUGCAUCUAAAAAUUUUUUCUCAUCUGAUACCAUUAAAAAAAUGUAUUUCAAAUAAUAAAAUUUUGAAAGCUUAACGAAUUUAUAAAUUCAGGUUACGGACUAUUGGAAUUUAUGUUUUUUUAAUAAAAAUAUUAUCUCAUUAAUU